rnacentral:rRNA from 1 species
CAUGCCGUAAACGAUGUCUACUAGCCGUUGGGGCCUUUGAGGCUUUAGUGGCGCAGCUAACGCGAUAAGUAGACCGCCUGGGGAGUACGGUCGCAAGACUAAAACUCAAAUGAAUUGACGGGGGCCCGCACAAGCGGUGGAGCAUGUGGUUUAAUUCGAUGCAACGCGAAGAACCUUACCUGGCCUUGACAUACUAGAAACUUUCCAGAGAUGGAUUGGUGCCUUCGGGAAUCGAGAUACAGGUGC